rnacentral:rRNA from 1 species
CGCGAAUGGCUCAUUAAAUCAGUUAUGGUUCCUUAGAGCUCCUGAUCCUACAUGGAUAACUGUAGUAAUUCUAGAGCUAAUACAUGCAACUAAGCUCCGACCUUCGGGGACGAGCGCACUUAUUAGACCAUGAUCAACCGGGGGCAACCCCGAACGACUGGUGACUCUGGAUAAACUACCGCGGAUCGCAUGGCCUCGAGCUGGCGAUUCAUCUUACAACUGUCUGACCUAUCAACUAGAAGGUAGAGUAUAUGUCUACCUUGGUGAUGACGGGUAACGGGGAAUCAGGGUUCGAUUCCGGAGAGGGAGCAUGAGAAACGGCUACCACAUCCAAGGAAGGCAGCAGGCACGCAAAUUACCCACUCCUGGCAAGGGGAGGUAGUGACGAAAAAUAACAAUACGGGACUCUUUCGAGGCCCCGUAAUUGGAAUGAGUACGAUGUAAAAUCCCUAACGAGGAACUAAUGGAGGGCAAGUCUGGUGCCAGCAGCCGCGGUAAUUCCAGCUCCAUUAGCGUAUAUUAAAGCUGUUGCAGUUAAAAAGCUCGUAGUUGGAUCUGGGGAGCAGGCUGGCGGGACCGCUUCACUGCGGAACUGCCUGUCCUGCCCUUUGCGCCGGGCUUCACAACAUGCGGGUUGCUCUUCGAUGAGUGUCUCCGCGUGGCCCGGUACUCUUACUUUGAAAAAAUUAGAGUGCUCUAAGCAGGCGGACACGCCUGAAUAAUGUUGCAUGGAAUAAUGGAACAGGACCUCGGUUCUGUGAAGUUGGUCGUCAGAACUGAAGUAAUGAUCAAUAGGGGCUGACGGGGGCAUCCGUAUUACGGGGCGAGAGGUGAAAUUCUAUGACCCUCGUAAGACGCCCAAAAGCGAAAGCAUUUGCCAAGAAUGCCUUCAUUAAUCAAGAACGAAAGUCAGAGGAUCGAAGACGAUCAGAUACCGUCGUAGUUCUGACCGUAAACGCUGGCGUCUGGUGAUUGUCAGGCGUGGGUCUAACGACCCUGACAGCAACCCCUCGGGAA